rnacentral:rRNA from 1 species
CCUACGGGAGGCAGCAGUAGGGAAUCUUCCACAAUGGGCGAAAGCCUGAUGGAGCAACGCCGCGUGUGUGAAGAAGGUCUUCGGAUCGUAAAACCCUGUUGUUAGAGAAGAAAGUGCGUGUGCGUAACUGUUCACGUUUCGACGGUAUCUAACCAGACAGCCCCGGCUAACUACGUGCCAGCAGCCGCGCUAAUACGUAGGUGGCAAGCGUUAUCCGGAUUUAUUGGGCGUAAAGGGAACGCAGGCGGACGUUUAAGUCUGAUGUGAAAGCCUUCGGCUUAACCGGAGUAGUGCAUUGGAAACUGGGAGACUGGAGUGCAGAAGAGGAGAGUGGAAUUCCAGGUGUAGCGGUGAAAUGCGUAGAUAUAAGGAAGAACACCAGUGGCGAAAGCGGCUCUCUGGUCUGUAACUGACGCUGAGGUUCGAAAGCGUGGGUAGCAAACAGGAUUAGAUACCCCGGUAGUC